GGUUUCUGUAGGUGAACCUGUNGAAGGAUCAUUG
rnacentral:rRNA from 1 species